CCCCGUGUCCCCCGCUGUCCUCCCUGCUGCCCCCCGUUGUACCACUGGCCAUCCUCCCGCUACCCCCAUUGCUGUUCCCCAGUUGGAUGUCAGCUGACCCAACAGGGAGGGAAGCUGGAGGAAGCAGCAGCUUAGGGCUGAGAGCACACACCAGGGCCCCCCCCCGCCCCCGCACUGCAGGAUGGGUGGGUGUCGUGUCCAGGGGACCCCUGGAACCAAGCGGGACCGUCAGGAAUCGGAAGAGCAAACUACACAGGGAGUGCAGGGGCAGGAAACACCGACUACAGCAGGAGUAGACCGCACAGGAGGCGGUGGAGAAACCCUGCAAAACCAGAAGCCAGUUGGUUGGAAAGGCGGACAAAUGACCAGACUUUGAGUGGAUUGACCAGAUGCAGCACUGGCCCAGGAGGAGCUGUCAGCUCCCAGUCCCUUCUAUUUGAAUGAAGGGCUGAGUGAAAGGUGGAGACAGGAAUGCGCCCGCGUGGGAAGGAGAGACACUGUCACAGAAGAGUUUUCAGCCACUCGGAGACUGGGGCUCUGGGAGGGAACCACUAGUACACACUGUGUGAAUUGUGGAAGGGGACAGACAGCCGGGAGAUGGGAAAUGGCCCUGGUGGCCCCUGGGAGAAGGCAGGUGCUGCUGGUGAAAGCGGCUGGUAUGUGCAUGCCAGUCUGGGCAGGGGCUAGCACACCUGCCUUUCGACUGUCAAUCAUAGACCCACAAGCUGACGGGAAGGGAGCGUCGUCAGCAUCAGGACCCACGCUCAGGGCCUGUGGAAGUCCAGACUGCAUCAGGCAGCUCCUUUCUGGGAGCGACCAGGUAACUGCGGCAGCAAAUAGGCCCCGACGCUUCCUGCUCUUUGUCCUUGUUGUUCAUGCUUCCCAGCAGAGGGAGAUGCUGUAAAGUCUGGGGUUAGUUCCGCAGGAGCAUCUAUGGAUUAUG